CGGAAACGCCGGACGAAAAACCGGUAAAUAGAAUAUUAUUUUAUGCGCGCGACGGGCCGUUCCGUGUAAUAAUUAUUAUUGUGCGCGGCGAUAUCGUAGAAUUAUUGCGGCGGUCGCGGUACAGUGACGGCGGCGGCGGGAGAAAGUGCCGGAGUGAGAAAGAGAGGGAGCGAGAGAGAAACAGCGUGAGAGAGCGCCGGUGAGAGAGCUAGUGUCGCGGCGUACGG